rnacentral:rRNA from 1 species
AUGUCUAGACCUGAUGGCAUCAAUAUCCCCGAUGUCAAGUUCUACCUAUGAGACGCUGGUUAUCCAUGUCGGCCUGGUGUUCUUCUAUCUUUCAGGAAAACUAGGUACCAUGUGAACAAGUUCUCUUCCAAGAACUAUUUCAGGACUCCACAGGAACUGUUCAAUCUCAGACACUCUAGUUGUAGAGUUACGGUUUAUAGGGCAUUUGGGGCUUCGAAGAACAGGUUUAAGAUCAUGUAUCAUAAGCCAUUCCACCUUUACCCUACCCAGGUUAAGUUUGUUCUUACAUGUUGUAUCCUCCAUAACUGGAUCCUACAACGAGGGUGUGAUAACCUUGUGUCAGAGGAGGAAGAGGUGAGGCCUAAUGAUGUUAUCAGCUCCAGAAGAGGACGAGGAUGGACUUCCACCUAG